CGCCGUAGCAUACCUGUACCGCGAUUACCAGCACAUCUAACCGGUGACCAACACUAAUUGCGACCGAGAGCGGAAUGGCUCGUUGUAAGAAAGGAACAGGCCAGCAGGAAUAAGGAGAGCAAAAGAAAGGAGCGUUGUAAGGAGAUGUACCAGGUAUAUAAAGAAAGAGCUAACGAUGGAUGAAAAAGGAGAUCGACGAGGAUAGUGGCUAGUUACACGAGGAGUAGGACACGAGCAAGAGAGCGUAGCGUGGCACGACACGGCGGCAUAUCCAUAGACAUAUACACUGUGUCUAUGGGCAUAUCGACGAGAACCGAGGCUGGCCGAGCACGACCGAACAGGGCCGACUUGGACCCUGCGCGCUCAACCCAAACCCGAGGAAGCAUAGUUGCAUUUAAACUGCCAUCCCACCGAGGUCUCUCUUCCGUGCUAUCCGGAGUAGUCUGCUGGCUGGGUCAGCAGCACUCGACGAGUACGUGUCGUCCGCGUACCUACGUUUCGUACACCCGCACAAGUGUCACACGAGUAUCGCGCAACCCUCGACGUGCCUCGGCUACGUUUCUUUGUCCGUGUUUCCGACGAAACGUGUACUCGAGGAGGGUUGAUACACACGAGGACAGGGAUUUUUUUUUCUACCAGGACAAAAGGAAGGAUAGGAUGGUUGCCGGGUAUCGGGAUCGGUACGAACUUUGUGCAGACGUGUUAUUUGAUUGAUCCUAUGGUGUUCGGGUACGGGUUGCUCCAGUUGAAUGGACUGACCCCGGAACUGUCAGUCGCGCUGCCAAUCAGCUGCUUCGGACCAUUCGUGUGGAAGUGUGCAUUUUCCUCGACGCUUCUGUUGGAAAUCAUUUUUUAAUCGUUCGACGAUCAUUUCGAAAUGUUGGUUCAUAGACUGUGUUUCCGGUCUCCUUUGUCCCCUGGACUGGGUAACUUGUUGACUGGACACGUUGAAAUUUCAAAGCCGUUUCCAUGAAAAAAGAAACACACACACAUAACGGCCAAUCUUCUCGUCCUCCCACCGUGAAUCCUUGAUAGCUUUUCGCACAGCUAUCCCGAGCGAGUAACUUGUUGACUUUUCUCCCGGGGGCAAGUGGCGACGAUUCCAGCCAUUAUGUAAAUCGAAUUUGAAUUUCUACCGUAUUUCUGCCCUGCGUGCGUGCACUUUUUAUGGUAAAUUAUUGAAAUAUCGAGACAUAGGUGGAUAUAGGUAUAUGGAUCGAUAGAAUGAGUCGUUUCUCGAUCAAACCUGAUGUAAUAUUUCUUAAUGCAACGUCGUCAUUGCAGUUAUUGAUCUUAUCGAAAUCGUUUCUUUACGCUGUUACGUGUCAAAGGAGUUCAUUACUCCAGUUAAAUUACCUUCGUUAUGGGGAAUUUCUAAAAAUUCUGUCCUCCAUUAAUCUUUGCCACUUGGUUCGAGGCUUUUCUUAAUAGGGAUGCAUUGCAAGAAUAGAUCCCGAGAAUUCGCUCUUACAUUGCAUUUUUCUCGUCGCUCUACCGAUUGGUCCACGAAUGGCAUCGAAACGCUGUUGCUACGUGCUUCACAAUGGGGCCAGCUUUUAAAGCCGAUAUUACGAAACGAAGUGUUCACCAUAAGUGAGAAAAAUGAUAAAAAGUCGAGGGCAUCACAGCAAUAAUAAAUAUUAAUUUUCUAAUUAUGAAUCAAUUGCAGAAAAAAUCAAAUUUUGCUAAUUGUAAGUUAAUGGCAUAUUCAAAUUAAUAGAUAUUUCAGUUUGUCUAAAGAAUUUAUUGAAAAUCAUUGUUUAAUUUAAGAACAAAUUAGUCGAGGAUGUUGGAAAAGUGUUAUGGUAGUCUUAAAUCUGACAAAUUAACGCAACAGCCGGUUCAUCGAUAUUCGGACCAGUCAGAGGGUGGCAGCGACGCGUUCAAUAUUUAACUUCUCGUUCCAGUUGUACCAGUUUGAGGGUCAUUCCAGGGCCCAUCCUUUCCCUUCCGCUCGAAGCGUCGCUCAAACGCGAAUUAUCGGCUUGCCACGAAACUUCUACCCCUCUUUCGCACCUCUGAAUAUCCGUUUUCAAGCCUUUCGACCCAUUUUUCUCAUCCCCCUAACCCUCGAGCCUACAAAAUUCACGAAUAUUAACGAGAUAUGUGUGAUUAAAGGCAGUAAACUAUAAAUAGAUCACUCGAGUUGCUUUAAAAGUUUGUGUCAAAGAUGAUUGAUUCAUUCGAAGGUUAUUUAUUUUUAUAAAUUAUAUUUAUAAUCAAAUCGAAGGGUAACAAGGUAUCAUUUGCAGGAGUGGUAGAUAAUUUUUCUAAGUAUAUGAUAAUGAUGUAUACCAUAAUAUAAAUUACCAAGAGAUAUUUUAUUCCCCUGGAUACAUAGAAGGUUGUUCGAUAGCAAGAGGACAAAUUGCAAUCCCAAUUCGCAGCUUCUGUAAUUACCGGCUGAUACCUGGUUCCGUGUCUCCGGCUCGUUGGCCGCGAUCAAAAGCUAAUUUCUUACUCGGCGUAAUAACACGCUCCCAACGCUUGUGUACAUACAUAGCCGGCCACUUUUCUGCAACUAUUACCGCAAUUAGCCCGCCUCGACCUGCCCGAUAGCUUCAACUGUUGCACGCGAGAGAAUUCGCGACGAGUCGACGCGAUUCGUUACGCGUACCUGUCGAUUAAUUAACCGUUCAACCGCGAGUCAAUCUUGCUCUAUUUCUAUUCAAACUUUCCAUUAACUUGAUUACUACUUUAUCGAUUAGGGGUCUUUAAAUUGGUAUUUCCUGGGUUGUGGAGGAAAAAUUAAUCCAAUGUGAUCUUGGACACAAACCUUCCCAUUAAUUCUUCGAAAUUUUUCAAUUAAAAAUCACUUCCCGGUACCUGGCACAACCUGAAAAUUACAAUUCGUCGAACGUAUGAGGAAAUGAACAAAAGGAUUCGGGGGGGAAUUCUCGCGAGUGAACGAGGAAAAUUGAUGAGAAUCGUUUUAGAAGAACUAAUUAUGGAGAACAUCGUUUUUGUAGUUCAACGAAAUUGAAUUUGGAGCAGACAAUAUUGCAAUAAUCACCAUUUUGCCGGACCAUGAACAAUGGAAGAUUCGAGUGACGUCUGGAUGGAAAAAAAAAAAGGAGAAAGAGUCGAAAGUAGGAUGAACCGUGAACGGUCUUGAUUCCUUGGUCGUCAUAGCUGAGUGCAGCUUCGGAGUUCUCUGCGCUCUUCACUUCUUUCUUCCUUCAUUCUCCUCUAUCCGGCACCCUAUUUUCCUAUAGCCCCUCUAAUGGCUCUCGAGGUCCCUGUCUUAUCGGUGACACUCGUCCCACCUGCUUCUGGAUCUUUUCUCAAUGCUUCCAAUGUUCUCGCGGUGACACGGGAACACGAUUGGGGAAAUCGGUGAAAGAAGAACACGAGAAGAAGGGCAUAAGAGCCGAACGUUACGGGCGGGCCUGACUCUUUGCUCUGCCCGUAUCUGGUCGUUUGGGUGAGCAAAGUUUCAGGACUCCGCCAUGUCGAGGAUGACGUCUUAUGAUGACAUUCGAUCUAUAGCCUUGACGUCUUAUGACGACAUCUGUGCUGAGAGUGUUAGGUAAAGUUUUUCUUUAAUUUCAAAAAGACAUGUAGCAUUAAGUGAUAAAAGAAUUCUUUAUUUCAAAAAUUUAUUUACAGGUCAUGCAUGGUCUAAAAUUCUACUGUUCUUUUUUUUCUUAUUACAAAGAAAGGAAUUUAUUAGUGUUUGUAAUGAAUAUAUCAAAUAUAAUGGAAAUUAAAUGUCUGCAGGAAACGGGAAUAAAUAUUUAGGUUGUAACGAAGCAUCCUCGACAGUACUCUUACGCCUGAAAUUUGCUUUUUACCUGGCCCUCGUGCUCUCUUACUUUGAGAAAACAAAGGUGAGCAAAGUUUCAGGUGUGUGAGUGCGUUGGAAUCAGCAGUGAAUCGUGAUAAUGGAAGAACCGUAUGCUGUAUCAUCUUGAAAAAUAAAGUAUUAUUAAACUAUUGUCCUCAACAUAAUAAAUAAAAUUAUUUUGUGUCAAUUAAUGGAUAAAAGAUAUUAACCCAGGGAUUGGGUAGCGAAUAUCCAAUAUUCAGUCGCCUAUAUCGAUAAUUUUAAAUAUAAUAAUGUAAAUAAAAAUCUUAAAAAAUU